CCAUGGUCCUGCUUGGUUGGCUCGACGCUCUGCAUUGCGCCGCUAGGGUCAGAGGAGUUGCAGAGUUGGGAAGAAGGGAGUUGCCUCAGACCUAUGAGACUAAAUUCCCUGAGUGCCGGUAGGAUUAUAUAUAUAUGCACAUUGGGAAUGUGAAGAAGGCAGCUGGUAUGGUAUGCCUGUUAAUUAGGUCCAAUUUUCAGACGAGGGAGUAUUUAAUUGUUCUCGUGGCUGUGUAGCAAGAAAGAAUGUCAUGUUGAGAUGGAAUUUUUCAGUCAGUGCAAUGUGAAAUUACAGAUACUGUUUGUAGACAAACUUAUGCUCCCAUUUGUGUCAAAUUUUCGAGUUUUUCAAUUA
rnacentral:lncRNA from 1 species